rnacentral:rRNA from 1 species
UACAGAGGGUGCGAGCGUUGUCCGGAAUCACUGGGCGUAAAGGGCGCGUAGGCGGCCUGGUAAGCGUGCGGUGAAACCCGGGGCUCAACCCCCGGGUCGGCCGUGCGAACUGCGAGGCUGGAGCACUGUAGAGGCAGGUGGAAUUCCGGGUGUAGCGGUGGAAUGCGUAGAGAUCCGGAAGAACACCGGUGGCGAAGGCGGCCUGCUGGGCAGUGGCUGACGCUGAGGCGCGACAGCGUGGGGGAGCAAACAGGAUU